UUGGGACUUGUUAUUCUUAGCAAAACAAUUCCAGAUAGCAAAGCAUUUUACUGCUUAAAGCCGACUCAGUUCUUAAAGGAGAAGCUCACAUUAUUUUAUUCUACACUUUUUUCCCAGGAAGGUGAUCUUGUAUAGUUUUAUUUUUCUUAAUAAUAGGUGGAGCUAUGCAAAGAAAACCCCAAAUACAUAGACCCGAUUUCCUAGAAAUCUCAACCCUUCACAUGAUAAAGCCUACUCACAGGACAUCGGAAUUGGAACAAGCAUGUGUUCCUGAAGGAGCUCCAUCUCCACUGUCA
rnacentral:lncRNA from 12 species